rnacentral:rRNA from 1 species
UGCCAGCCGCCGCGGUAAUACGGAGGGUGCGAGCGUUAAUCGGAAUUACUGGGCGUAAAGCGCACGCAGGCGGUUUGUUAAGCUAGAUGUGAAAGCCCCGGGCUCAACCUGGGAUGGUCAUUUAGAACUGGCAGACUAGAGUCUUGGAGAGGGGAGUGGAAUUCCAGGUGUAGCGGUGAAAUGCGUAGAUAUCUGGAGGAACAUCAGUGGCGAAGGCGGCUCCCUGGGACAGUUCUGACGCUGAGGGACGAAAGCGUGGGUAGCAAACCGGAUUAGAUA